rnacentral:rRNA from 1 species
UACGUAGGGUGCGAGCGUUGUCCGGAUUUAUUGGGCGUAAAGAGCUCGUAGGCGGUUUGUCGCGUCGGCCGUGAAAACCUACAGCUUAACUGUGGGCUUGCGGUCGAUACGGGCAGACUUGAGUUCGGCAGGGGAGACUGGAAUUCCUGGUGUAGCGGUGAAAUGCGCAGAUAUCAGGAGGAACACCGGUGGCGAAGGCGGGUCUCUGGGCCGAUACUGACGCUGAGGAGCGAAAGCGUGGGGAGCGAACAGG